rnacentral:rRNA from 1 species
UGGGGAAUCUUAGACAAUGGGGGCAACCCUGAUCUAGCCAUGCCGCGUGAGUGAUGAAGGCCUUAGGGUUGUAAAGCUCUUUCAGCUGGGAAGAUAAUGACGGUACCAGCAGAAGAAGCCCCGGCUAACUCCGUGCCAGCAGCCGCGGUAAUACGGAGGGGGCUAGCGUUGUUCGGAAUUACUGGGGGUAAAGCGCACGUAGGCGGACUGGAAAGUUGGGGGUGAAAUCCCGGGGCUCAACCUCGGAACUGCCUUCAAAACUAUCAGUCUGGAGUUCGAGAGAGGUGAGUGGAAUUCCGAGUGUAGAGGUGAAAUUCGUAGAUAUUCGGAGGAACACCAGUGGCGAAGGCGGCUCACUGGCUCGAUACUGACGCUGAGGUGCGAAAGCGUGGGGAGCAAACA